GAUGAAUGCUGGCGGCGUGCCUAACACAUGCAAGUCGAGCGGCAGCGAGUUUUCCACUGAAUUCUGGAAGCUUCUGAGUAGUACAGAAGAUUUAUUCAAGAGUUUUGUGUAAAAUGUCGGCGAGCGGCGGACGGCUGAGUAACGCGUAGGAAUUUGCCCCAAAGUGAGGAAUAACUGCCCGAAAGGGUAGCUAAUGCCGCAUAUGGUCUUCGGAUUAAAGCCUUCGGGCGCUUUGGGAGAAGCCUGCGUUGGAUUAGGUAGUUGGUAGGGUAAUGGCCUACCAAGCCGACGAUCCAUAGCUGGUCUGAGAGGAUGAUCAGCCAGACUGGAACUGAGACACGGUCCAGACUCCUACGGGAGGCAGCAGUGAGGAAUCUUCCACAAUGGGCGAAAGCCUGAUGGAGCAACGCCGCGUGAAGGAUGAAGGCCUUCGGGUUGUAAACUUCUUUUAUGAGUGAAGAAUAUGACGGUAACUCAUGAAUAAGCACCGGCUAACUACGUG
rnacentral:rRNA from 1 species